UAAUACAUCCUUCUAAUCCAA
ensembl:piRNA 21ur-1863 ncRNA